rnacentral:rRNA from 1 species
CCAGGUGCAUGGCUGGUUGGCUACGUUCGGAAGGGAUAACCGCUGAAAGCAUCUAAGCGGGAAGCCUGCUUCAAGAUGAGAUUUCCACGCCCCCCAGUGGGGUGAGAGGCCCCCGCCAGACUAGCGGGUUGAUAGGCCAGAGGUGGAAGCACAGCAAUGUGCUCGUGAGCCGACUGGUACUAAUGGGCCAACACUAAACAACCACCCAA